GAUGAAGAACGUAGCGAAAUGCGAUAAGUAAUGUGAAUUGCAGAAUUCAGUGAAUCAUCGAAUCUUUGAACGCACAUUGCGCCCGCCAGUAUUCUGGCGGGCAUGCCUGUUCGAGCGUCAUUUCAACCAUCAAGCCCCAGGCUUGUGUUGGGGACCUGCGGCUGCCGCAGGCCCUGAAAACCAGUGGCGGGCUCGCUGUCACACCGGGCGUAGUAGAUUUUAUCUCGCUCAGGGCGUGCUGCGGGUACCGGCCGUUAAAAAGCCUUUUUUACCCAAGGUUGACCUCGGAUCAGGUAGGAAGACCCGCUGAACUUAAGCAUAUCAAUAAGCGGAGGA
rnacentral:misc_RNA from 1 species